UCAAUAUUGAUUCACUUGCACAUCUAUGCAUCAGACUAAAACUCCUUUAUUUUUAAACCAGUUGCAGGUAUGAUAAGAGUUAUGUUUUUCUAAUAUAUUUUAUGGUGAUAUGAUAUUAAACCCCCAUGACAGGUUGGUGCUAGAUUUUCGUAUAUUCAAGACAUAGUUUUUCGAACAGUUUAAUUGAGGUCUGGAGCUGGCAUGUUGGUAACUGUUCGUAGUCCCUUGUUGAUUUUUGUAAUAUCGUCAUUUUCAAUUUUUGUUUGUUUAAUUUGUUACUUAUUCUGAUAUUGGACUCUUUAUGAUUUUUACUGUGCGUAUUGUUGUGCGUUGCUUCUUCUUCAUUUAGUUGAGAUUUUGAAACACUUGUUUAACCCCUCGCCAUUUAAGUAUCUGUUCCAAGUCUGGGGCCUCUGGCCUAUGUUAGCUUGGGAUGAACUUUUAUUUUAGAUUUGAGUUUAGUAUGACUUUCAUUAUCACUAUUCAGUGAUCUGGUAAAAAAAAAAAAAAAAAAAAAAUCAUUAUGGAUGAAGCCAUUUCUGGUUUUUAGAGGGAUUGCUUCAGAUGCUUGGCCCCAACUGCAGAUGUUUAUCCUGCUAUUACCCCAAGGGAAUUUUUACAGUUAUUUCAGACCUUUAGUAACCGUUUAUUUGUAAGUUCCACACCACCCGUACAUACCAUGUAUCAGAGAGG
rnacentral:lncRNA from 1 species